rnacentral:rRNA from 1 species
AAUAGAUACCCGGGUAGUCCACGCCGUAAACGAUGGACACUAGGUGUAGGGGGUAUCGACCCCCUCUGUGCCGUAGCUAACGCAAUAAGUGUCCCGCCUGGGGAGUACGGCCGCAAGGCUAAAACUCAGAGGAAUUGACGGGGGCCCGCACAAGCAGCGGAGCGUGCGGUUUAAUUCGUCGCAACGCGAAGAACCUUACCAAGGCUUGACAUGGUAGUGGUACUGAUUCGAAAGAUGAGGGACCCUUCGGGGAGCUAUCACAGGUGCUGCAUGGCUGUCGUCAGCUCGUGCCGUGAGGUGUUGGGUUAAGUCCCGCAACGAGCGCAACCCCCUGUUGCCAGUUGUAUUCUCUGGCGAGACUGCCCCGUAAAGCGGGGAGGAAGGCGGGGAUGACGUCAAGUCAGCACGGCCCUUACGUCUUGGGCUACACCCACGCUACAAUGGCCGGUACAACGGGCUGCGAAACCGCGAGGUGGAGCCAAUCCCUUAAAGCCGGUCUCAGUUCGGAUCGCAGGCUGCAACUCGCCUGCGUGAAGCCGGAGUUGCUAACG